GGGGCUGUAGCUCAGUUGGGAGAGCGCUAGCUUUGCAAGCUGGAUGCCGCAGGUUCGAUCCCUGUCAGCUCCA
rnacentral:tRNA from 1 species